rnacentral:lncRNA from 1 species
AGACAGGAACACAUGCACACAGAUGGUCCAUCUGCUGAUUCGCUCCCCACACGGCCACAGCAGGCAGGGCUGACCCUGAGGCCAGGAGCCAGGAGCUCCGUCCGGGUCUCCCAGGUGGGUGGCAGGUGCCUGUGUCACAGGUGCCGGCUUAACCCGCUGCGCCACAACGCCGGCCUGUUCUAGAAUGUUCUAUCAUGAAUUCCGGGGAGGGGACGUGUUGUGCAUGCAGCUUCUGUAGGUUGGGGACUCUUCCCGGUCGGCUGCUUUUCCUGGAGUGGCCCCGAGACGCCGCACAGGGGUCUUCGGGUGGGGGCGUGUUGGGUCCCUGUCCUGGCGCUGGGUGUCGAUGCACACAGCUCUGGAGCAGCGCCGCGGGCCAGCGGCUAGCACACGCAGACACUGCCCUGCGUCAGCUCCACCUGUCCCUGCGCCUGACCGGGGCCUUCUUCCAGGACCCCCCACCUCCCGACCCCAGCAGGCGCCAGGUUUGGGUGCACAGAUGGGCGGGCGGUGGGACCCCUGUGUGCCCUGGUACUGCAGCUUCUCCCCGCAAGAGCAACUCCUGGCGGUCCCCAGAAACGCUCACCCCAAAACACAGCAGCGAGACAGCCGGAUCUUCCCUCGCGGCCGCGGCUGCUGCCUCCUGCUCCUCCCCCAGCCAGGGCGAGCGGUCGGGGCUGUGGAAGCAGGGCUGGCCUCUGCCUCCUCGGGCUCAGGUCCUCGCUCCCACCUGCGCCUGCUGGAGGCAAAGGGUCCGUCGGCCCCUCCUCUCGGCACAAACAGGCUUUAGGAUGGGGAGCCCCGAGACGUGUCGCCUGAUGAUCUCAUGCCCCGACACGCACCCUCCUGUCACGGCCCCACGCUGGGCACACCACCCUCGGCGUUGGCCCCUGUGGCCGUGGCAACCAGCAGGCUGUCCCGCCUGCCGGAGCCCCAGCUCACGGCGUCAGCGCAGCUGUGCCCCCUGCGAGGGCUGCGGGGCAGGGCCCCUCCUGCCUCUCCAGGCUCCGGGGGCUCCAGGCAUCCUUGGCCUUUGGCCGCCUCACUCCAGGCUCUGCCAAGGGCGUCUCCUCUCCUAGCUCCACCUGACCUCGGAUUCCACGCCCACCCUGCUCCAGCGCGGC